GCAGUUCUAAGAUCCGUUUUCUCGCCGCCGUCUAAUGCAAUCUCGGGAAAUUAGCCGCGAAAUUAUUUCCAAUUAUUUCCGAUCGCUCGCGCGCGUGCGAAUAAAAUCAAAUCGGGUAUGAUAUUCGUAUUUCAAAACUCGCAAAACGAUGACGAUAAUAAUAUUACUAUAAUAAUUUCGACGAUAUAGUAUACGCACACACGCAAGCAAGUAUAGCGGAGGACAAGAUACCAUCUGUAGAUUCAUGUAACAAUAAUAAUUACUGCAAUA